UUCCAGCUCCAAUAGCGUAUAUUAAAGUUGUUGCAGUUAAAAAGCUCGUAGUUGAACUUUGGGCCCGGUUGGCCGGUCCGAUUUUUUCGUGUACUGGAUUUCCAACGGGGCCUUUCCUUCUGGCUAACCUUGAGUCCUUGUGGCUCUUGGCGAACCAGGACUUUUACUUUGAAAAAAUUAGAGUGUUCAAAGCAGGCGUAUUGCUCGAAUAUAUUAGCAUGGAAUAAUAGAAUAGGACGUUUGGUUCUAUUUUGUUGGUUUCUAGGACCAUCGUAAUGAUUAAUAGGGACGGUCGGGGGCAUCAGUAUUCAAUUGUCAGAGGUGAAAUUCUUGGAUUUAUUGAAGACUAACUACUGCGAAAGCAUUUGCCAAGGACGUUUUCAUCA
rnacentral:rRNA from 1 species